AGCGAAGAAGGGGUUGAACCAACAUCAAAAAACUCAAAAUUUUACGCAUUCCUUAUGCUAUUCACUA
rnacentral:tRNA from 1 species